UACAGAGGGUGCAAGCGUUGUUCGGAAUUAUUGGGCGUAAAGCGCGUGUAGGCGGCUUUGCAAGUCGGGUGUGAAAUCCUCAGCUUAACUGAGGAAGUGCGCCCGAAACUGCUUUGCUUGAGUGCCGGAGAGGAUGGCGGAAUUCCCCAAGUAGAGGUGAAAUUCGUAGAUAUGGGGAGGAACACCGGUGGCGAAGGCGGCCAUCUGGACGGUAACUGGACGCUGAGACGCGAAAAGCGUGGGGAGCAAACAGGG
rnacentral:rRNA from 1 species